rnacentral:rRNA from 1 species
GGAUGAGCCCGCGGCCUAUCAGCUUGUUGGUGAGGUAACGGCUCACCAAGGCGACGACGGGUAGCCGGCCUGAGAGGGCGACCGGCCACACUGGGACUGAGACACGGCCCAGACUCCUACGGGAGGCAGCAGUGGGGAAUAUUGCACAAUGGGCGAAAGCCUGAUGCAGCGACGCCGCGUGAGGGAUGACGGCCUUCGGGUUGUAAACCUCUUUCAGCAGGGAAGAAGCGAGAGUGACGGUACCUGCAGAAGAAGCGCCGGCUAACUACGUGCCAGCAGCCGCGGUAAUACGUAGGGCGCAAGCGUUGUCCGGAAUUAUUGGGCGUAAAGAGCUCGUAGGCGGCUUGUCACGUCGGUUGUGAAAGCCCGGGGCUUAACCCCGGGUCUGCAGUCGAUACGGGCAGGCUAGAGUUCGGUAGGGGAGAUCGGAAUUCCUGGUGUAGCGGUGAAAUGCGCAGAUAUCAGGAGGAACACCGGUGGCGAAGGCGGAUCUCUGGGCCGAUACUGACGCUGAGGAGCGAAAGCGUGGGGAGCGAACAGGAUUAGAUACCCUGGUAGUCCACGCCGUAAACGGUGGGCACUAGGUGUGGGCAACAUUCCACGUUGUCCGUGCCGCAGCUAACGCAUUAAGUGCCCCGC